rnacentral:lncRNA from 12 species
AUGAGUUUGCCGCCGAAAGUGGUGCCGAAACCAGCCGCUGCCGCCGCCGCUGGAACUGGACCUGGAACUGGACCUGGAACCGGGACGUCACCCUCGAGUCAGCUGCGGGCCACCCUGACCCCAGUCCCGCUAACGUUACCGCCGGGAACACCGGUGGCUCAGCAGCCGCCGACACACUUAACACCCUUCUGUCGUAACUGUCCGUGCCCCUCUGUCAACAUCUUGGUUGCUGGAAAAACAAGCUGCUGUUUGACUGUGUGGGUUUAAAGGGUAGUUUUUGCAUAUCUGACUUCUAUAAUUUCCACUUGUCAUCACAAGAAAGUAAAUAACUUGACAUGUUGGUCUGGUAUUUGCAGUGAGUCACUUAAAUCUAUCAAUUUUUUUUAAGGGGGGUUGAAAUAACAGAGCUAAAGACUAAAUUAGACUGUGUACAUGGGAAAAUAGUGCUAACAAUGCAUAAUAAUACAGUCAGAGACAAUGAUGGCUUUCUCUAGGUUUUUUUUUUAAUUAUUGUGUGAGAUUCCCCAAAUGCAUUUACAGUUAAUGCUUUCUGUUUCUGUUUUUGUGACUAUAUAAAAAAAAAUGCAUCCCCACUGGACUGGUUUCAUUUACUUGUUCACUGACAGGAAAUCUAUUUUCAAAUAUUUCCUAGAUGAGAAUUAUCUGCUGCAAACUCUUGCAUGAGAUCAACCUAAGCAUUCUUACAUGCUUCUUACAACAAAAUGUUGGUUUAUAUUUGGAUUUAUUUUUAUUUUUAUUCAUAUAGCGCUCUGAUUUAGGCAGGAGGUGUAUUUAGACCAUGAUGCACUGCAUAGCUUUUUAGAGUGUUUAAAGUAAUUGAGGAUCAUUUUGAAGCGGAACACAGCGAAAACAACUGUGACACUGCAAAUGUCUAUCUUAGUAAAUGAGACUGUAGCACUCAAAAUAAUCUGUAACCUACAAACCAGUCGAAACUGUGACUGUAAAAGGAUGACAUGGUUUUAAGCUUGAGAUUACUGUGAACGUUUCAUGGCAGGGCGCCAAAGGAAAGUUAAAAUGAGUAACUAAAAGCUGUUGUUUUACCCCGGUUACUGUAAACUGUACAUUAGUUUGAUGUAGUUUGAACUCUCUCUGCGUGUAUGUGCCUGUGGUGCAGUGGAGGAGGAAGGGUUUCCCCGCCCUCUUAACAGUAGCCUGGUUGUAGAGACAGAACUGAGGUGGCACGGCUCUGCUGCUGGGCUGGAGAUGGAAGACGCAUCUCUAUCCUCUGUACUCCAGCAGCAUGUUAAUACACAAUCAGCUUCUCGUGUAUGACAACCUUGUUGAAACGGAUGACGUUUUUCACUUGUGGGAGAACCUAAUUUCUUUGAGGAAUGGCACAGUAUGGCUCCAUCAUUCAAAAGACACUGUAUAUUCAGUAAUGUGAAGUAGGUUGAUACAUGGAGGAAUUUUUUUGAGCACAGUUAUGUAAAGUUUGCAUUGUUUUUUCCGGUGUGGCUGGAAGUUGUUAACGCUGAUGGGAGCUGGCAUGUCUUGACAACAAUAUGAAUUCUAGUUUGUGCCACUCAGCCCCUGUGUGCCGGACCCCACGCCUGCUUAUUAGCAACAGGGAAACACUGCAAAAUGAGUUAGAGUAGAAAAAAUACAAGUUUCUUUCAGAAUGUUCCCUUCUUUUUAAAGACACGUGUGGAAAGGAGAGCAGGGCUUGAUAAUAAGUGUUUCACAGGGCCAGUUUCAGGUCAGAUGAUGGCUAGAUAUUGGGCCCAGAACUGGUUGUCAUUAGGUUUGUUGAUUGUGUAUGUGUUUUUUUUUUUUUUUAAGUCUUGCAAACCUAAAUGUUUGUACUUCUGUGAUGUAUUGAAUAUUGUAGUUUAAGAUAUUUAAAAGGUACACAUUUUAUUAGUUCAUGCUUUCCUUAAGAAUUAAACCUGUGUCCUUGGUGUUGCUAGCAAAAUGGUUUACUGUUUGGGCAACAGGAAUGUGUCACUUAAACUAAUUUAAAUAUCAAAACAUAUUUAAAUCAGCAAAAUUAAAUCAUGCUAAAUAAUUUGAGUAAAAUAUAUAUAUAUAUUGUAUUGAUAUUAUGUGUUCAUUAAAAUUAUAUUUAAAAAGCAUAUAAUCAGCAUAUUUAAAUAAAACAUCUAUCUGUAUAGAUGGUUUGUGAUAGCUAUCAUUUAGAAUGGGUCGAAAGUGAAAAAAGUCAUCUUUCUGUAAAGUGUAACUAUAUUUCUAGCUGUUUGUGCUUAAAAUUGUUUUAAAUUGCUGUAACGUUUUGUAAAGAAAAUUUUAAUGUGUAUUUUUUAUGAUUUACAAACAGUUAAAUGUUUUAUGAG